rnacentral:rRNA from 1 species
AUUGAACGCUGGCGGCAUGCCUUACACAUGCAAGUCGAACGGUAACGCGGGGCAACCUGGCGACGAGUGGCGAACGGGUGAGUAAUGCAUCGGAACGUGCCCAGUAGUGGGGGAUAGCCCGGCGAAAGCCGGAUUAAUACCGCAUACGACCUACGGGUGAAAGGGGGGGAUCGCAAGACCUCUCGCUAUUGGAUCGGCCGAUGCCAGAUUAGCUAGUUGGUGGGGUAAAGGCCUACCAAGGCGACGAUCUGUAGCUGGUCUGAGAGGACGACCAGCCACACUGGGACUGAGACACGGCCGAGACACCUACGGUGGGGAGUAGUGGGGAAUUUUGGACAAUGGGCGAAAGCCUGAUCCAACCAUGCCGCGUGCGUGAAGAAGGCCUUCGGGUUGUAAACCGCUUUUGUCAGGGAAGAAAUCUUCUGAGUUAAUACCUCGGGAGGAUGACGGUACCUGAAGAAUAAGCACCGGCUAACUGCGUGCCAGCCGCCGCAGUAA